rnacentral:rRNA from 1 species
GAGCGGAUGACAGGAGCUUGCUCCUGGAUUCAGCGGCGGACGGGUGAGUAAUGCCUAGGAAUCUGCCUGGUAGUGGGGGACAACGUUUCGAAAGGAACGCUAAUACCGCAUACGUCCUACGGGAGAAAGCAGGGGACCUUCGGGCCUUGCGCUAUCAGAUGAGCCUAGGUCGGAUUAGCUAGUUGGUGAGGUAAUGGCUCACCAAGGCGACGAUCCGUAACUGGUCUGAGAGGAUGAUCAGUCACACUGGAACUGAGACACGGUCCAGACUCCUACGGGAGGCAGCAGUGGGGAAUAUUGGACAAUGGGCGAAAGCCUGAUCCAGCCAUGCCGCGUGUGUGAAGAAGGUCUUCGGAUUGUAAAGCACUUUAAGUUGGGAGGAAGGGUUGUAGAUUAAUACUCUGCAAUUUUGACGUUACCGACAGAAUAAGCACCGGCUAACUCUGUGCCAGCAGCCGCGGUAAUACAGAGGGUGCAAGCGUUAAUCGGAAUUACUGGGCGUAAAGCGCGCGUAGGUGGUUUGUUAAGUUGAAUGUGAAAGCCCCGGGCUCAACCUGGGAACUGCAUCCAAAACUGGCAAGCUAGAGUACAGUAGAGGGUGGUGGAAUUUCCUGUGUAGCGGUGAAAUGCGUAGAUAUAGGAAGGAACACCAGUGGCGAAGGCGACCACCUGGACUGAUACUGACACUGAGGUGCGAAAGCGUGGGGAGCAAACAGGAUUAGAUACCCUGGUAGUCCACGCCGUAAACGAUGUCAACUAGCCGUUGGAAUCCUUGAGAUUUUAGUGGCGCAGCUAACGCGUUAAGUCGACCGCCUGGGGAGUACGGCCGCAAGGUUAAAACUCAAAUGAAUUGACGGGGGCCCGCACAAGCGGUGGAGCAUGUGGUUUAAUUCGAUGCAACGCGAAGAACCUUACCUACUCUUGACAUCCACGGAAUUUGGCAGAGAUGCCUUAGUGCCUUCGGGAACCGUGAGACAGGUGCUGCAUGGCUGUCGUCAGCUCGUGUUGUGAAAUGUU